AGUCCUCCUCCCGAUCUCCUCCCUCGCUGAAAAAUCCAGUCCUCCUCGAUCUCCCCCUCCUCCUUCUCCUCUGCGCCCGCCUCCGUCUGGGAUCAAACCCCCCUCCCCACGAGCUCCUCCUCGAUGCGCGACUCUCUCGAUCCCGAUCCAUUCAGAGGGGCUGCCCCUUCUCUCCUCCGCUCGCCGCUUGGCCGUAGAAAAGAAGUCCGGGCAGGGGACAUGGCGGCCGCCGGUGGCAUUUUCCCAUCGCGCCUCGAUUUGGCCGCCUCGGCGGAGGCGCUCGCGGCCUGGAGGGUCGGCGCAGCGCCUCACCUUGGCCUGGAGGCUGGCCGCCAUGGAGCUCCCCUCGGCCUAGAACUGGGGCUCGACGGGGCCUCCCUUCCCGGUUCAUGGCCGCAGCCGUCUCGGCUGUGCACGCCGGCGUCGUGACGUGGUGGCCAGGCGCUGGUUGCUGCCUCACCCGACCCCAGCGUGCCCGAGGUGCCGGCAGGCCUCUUCGGCAUCUCUGCUCCUGGUUCGCUCUGUUUCCUCGUGGAUGCCAAAGGGGGUCGUAUUUUGUUACUAAUUACUAAGCGUUUUGGUGCAGCCCAUCCGUGGAUCAUCCCUUGCCAAUUUAAUUAUUAUCUACAUUGGUUUUUGAGCAUUAGAUCAAUUAACUGAACUGGCGUUGCUCCUCUUGUUGUGUCCCUACUGCUCGCUACUCUCCUUCCCUGAUCUAAUCCCAUCUAGCCGCUGUAUUCUACCUUUCCUCUGCCUCGUUGCUGUACAAUCUGCUCACUGCCGCUGCUGUUCCUCCUCUCCUACACCUCUUGCUGCUGCUCUUCUCCCACGAAACUGUUGCUCCUCUCUUCUCUCAACGCUCUCUGCUACCUCUUUCUUCUUCCACCUGCUGCUGCUUCUCUUUAGAUCCACAAAACUGUUGCUCUUCUUCUCAAACAUCCUUUGCUGAAGCUCUUUUCCAAACUGCUGCUGCUCUCUUUCUUGCUCUUUCUCUCACUCUUUCUAUGUGCGUGUGUGUGUGUAGUUGCUGAUAGUUAUUAGUGGAUGCAAGAUCAACUACACUCAAAUCAGUAUUAGCUCUUUAUGUGUCUAUAUGUCAGCUUGUGUACUGUUCUGAACACCCAAUUUGUGUUCUUUAUGUAUUAGUUUCUGCAAUAUAUGUGAAAUUGUGAGUUGUUGGGAUGAUCAUUUUCGAUUAGACUUGUACUGUCAUACAUUGUGAGUCAUAUAUAUAUAUAAAUUCGUGAUUGUGGUUAAUUCUAGUAACUGUGGUAUUCCAUAUUUGUGAAUCUCCUGUACAAGUGAGUUCCAUUGUUAUAGAACUCAAUGCUGCUCUACAUCAUCUUUAAUGUCUGCUUGUGAACCAUGUACUAUAAUCUUUCUGCCCCUUAUCCUUAAUGCUUGCUUGUGUUAGUAUUUUACUUUCUCAAGCAAAAUGAAACUACUAAAAAGGCAGAGAGUAUAAUCUGAACCUUCCUUUGCUUCUUUUCAUUUUCCUUGUCGUCGAUUUGCCAGAACAAUCUUAGUUAGUUUAGAUUUAUAUCUCCUUGCUAUCAUCAUCUGUAUUCUGUCACCUAGCUUUAGCCGAGCAUAGUCGCCGUCGUCUAGUCCCUGUGGGGAACACGACACUCGCAGUUCGGGCGAAAUAUCCCGCUGUACUUACAAUCGAUCAAAUAAUCAACAUAGAUUUAUACUUUUUGCUAUCUCAUUUAGCUCGAGAUCGACUCGACAUCGUUAGAAGCUGAGCAUGAGUCAUGUUCUACACCUUGACCUUGAGCUUCAUUCAGUUUGAGCUGCCUCGAAUUUUAAUAUGAGUUAAACUGAUUUGAUUAUAUGCCUGCUUAAUGUAUUGCGUUUCUUCUUAAAUUGACUCAAAAUUUUAUGUCUGGUUUACCUACACAAGGGCACAAUGAUGAAUUUUACGGAGGAUGCUCCUGGUACACAACAUCCUUACUUCAUAAUCACCUAUCUGAAUGGUGCAGAACAUCAAUGCUUUGUUAAUGCUAAGUCCCAUGAUUGUUUUUGCGUGCAGUAAAGAAAGGCUCUGUUCUCUUAACACGGAUGGAAAGUAUAACGGCAUACAAAAACCAACAUGGACAACACUGACUUUUGGUUAUUCUAUAGUUAGUUAAUGAUGUGCAUUUGGCAUGUUUCAUCAUCAGAUGCAAUUAUUCAUGCGUUGGACCGUGUUAUUCUUAUUUCAUCUUUUAUAGUGUAAAUAUUGAUGCUGCACCUAUAAUUGCUCCUUUCAUUUUUAGGACAAAGCACUUCAAGAGGUUAAAAACAAAGAAACUGAAACUGAAGGUCCACUUUCAAGUGAGCAGAAAAACAAUAUUUUCCAGACCGCUUGCAAAGACACUCUGGAAUGCAAGUCAUCGCAGCCUCGUGGGUACGGAUACAUGGCCAAAACUUCAACUGGUUCUGAAAGGUUCCGUAUCCAGAUUGAAGAGCAAGCUCGUGCUACAGCAGCCACCCAGGAGCGAAACUCUCAGCUCGGCCAGCAGGUCAACGACUUAGAAGAUCAACUACAAGCUGAACGUGCUAACACACAAGAGAGGAUUAACUUGGAGCGUGCUGAGAGAGAACAACUUGAGGAGAGGUUAAAAGAAGAGCAUGCUGAAAGGGAAAGAUUGUUGCAAGAGGAGCGAACAUCAAGACUGGAAUUUGAAAAACACAUGAUGGCAAAGUUUGUAGAAUUGAGCAAACAGUUGGGAACCCAACAAGUGAUUACAGUCAUAUGCUUUCGACCUUGUAAGAUUUAUGUUGCUUACUUGCAUUGCUAAAAGUGCACUUCUGUUACAGGUGCCUACGAAGAGGGUUGACAAAGAAAAUAGUAAUCCAAACUUGCAAAAUAUUCUUUUACAGAGAUCUAGUCCUAAUAAGACUCCAGGUUCAAGGCCAACUGCUAUUUCUUCAAAUGCGCUCAUACAAGCUGCAGCAAGGCAAUCUCGAAUGUUUAAAGCAAUGGAUGUCAUGAGCAUGCGUGUGAUGCCUUCGCCGAUGAGUCCAUUGCAAUGUCCCAUGCAGUAUCUAUUGGCGCUAAUAUGGGGGUCGUGAGGGUUGUUUUUUAAGCGGACUCGCAACUCCUGAUGGAAGCACUUAAUAUCAAUAAGGAACCAAAGAACUAGCUGGACUGCACACUAGGAUCAUGGGCAGUUUAGUCUUCGAAGUUAAUUAGGAUGGCUAAAUUACGUUUGAGUUUUAUUUGAUGGAUAUUUUCUAUGAGAAUUUUGAAUUUUAUGAAUCUACAUAUUAUACGUAUGGUUUUGAAUAUUGUAAUCAAAAGCCUGUAUUUUUUUUACGGUUGCAAUAGACUAUUACCACAACCCACUUUUGGUUGCCAUAUGCUAGCACCACUAAAAAUAUAGUGUUGCGUCAUAUCUCAAUUGCUAUGCCUAUCUAUUUUGUUGCACUAGGAUGUUGCAACGGAGCACUUUAUAUUGUUGUAAUAGCUUGGCGCCACAAAAAAAUUCAUGAUGCGAUAACAGUUUGGCGCCACCAAAGUAAGUUUGUUGAAAUAGAGUAUUGCCAUGAAAGUUUAAAU